rnacentral:lncRNA from 1 species
UUUUUUUUUUUUUUGUCUUUCUGCCUUUUCUAGGGCCACUUCCCGCACCAUGUGGAGGGAGUUCCCAUCAUGGCUCAGCAGUAACAAACCCGACUAGUAUCCAUGAGGAUGCAGGUUCAAUCCCUGGCCUUGCUCAGUGGAUUAAGGAUCUGGUGUUACUGUGCGCUGUGGUACAGGUUGCAAAUGUGGCUCAGAUCUAGCAUUGCUGUGGCAUAAGCCAGCAGCUGCAGCUCCAAUUUGACCCCUAGCCUGGGAACUUCCUCAUGCCUCGGGUGCAGCCCUAAAAAGAAAAAAAAAAAUUUAAAUUAAAUUAAAAUAAAAUACUUCCUACCUCUACUCACAGCUUCCCAACAGUCCCUCACCUCCCAGGCCACCUCAUUCUAUAUGCCCAGUGGCGCUCAAGCAUAUGAUGCUGCUAUAACUCUUUCCUUCUGAGGUGCUAGAAUCUCAACCCAGCUGGAAGACGUGGACAUGGGAGGAAGCAGGAAUGCACACAGAUGGGAGGCACUGGACUCCAACAGUUUGUUUAUUCUUCACACCAACUCUGUAGUGUUGAUGAAACUCAAGUUGAGAGAGUCAAAACAGUCAAAACAUGCAAACGAGCUCAGGUCUACCCCCAGGCUGGUGGAUUCAAUUCACCCCCGACCACACUGCCUUCAGUGGCUAGAGGUAAGCUAGGGACAGACCAACUCCAACUGCCCAAGCCACGGGCACCUGCCAUUAAAUAUGGAGCAUCAACAGGUGUUUACUGCAGGGGUCAAAGUGGAAACAAGCCCCAUCCACCCAACCACCCAACUGUCCCCAUGCCAAUCUCUAGAACAUCCAAGGACGAAGAGGCCUUAAGAACAUCAUACAUGGCUCUUUCAAUUCAAAGCCAAGAAAACAGAGCCCCAAAAGAAAAAAAAAAAAAGCAUUUUCUGUGCCUCAGGUAUCAUUCCUAUGGUCCCUCAGGUCACCCUCACAACAGUCACGCUAUGAAGUCAUUUUGGGGUGCACCUGAUAAGCAUAUGCACGCACACAUGUAUGUAUUUUUUAAGCGACUCAAAGUUACAUAGUAUCUUGUCCAAGACCUAACAUGGAGUUAAACGGCAAAGUUCCAACAUCUCCCCCAUCCAAGCCCUAUGUCUCUAUCUGGUCCCCAGCAUUACGUAGCUUCUAACCACUGGGAGCCCCAGGACUCAUACAAAAUAGUAUGUAAUAAAGGGGUAAAAGUGGGUAACUAGACCAGUGGUUUCCAAAUGUGGCUAAUUUAUUAGCAUCAUCUGAGAUGUCUCCUAAAAAUACAGAUCAGCCUCCCCCCCUUGCAGGCUUCUGACUGUGUAGGAGACCUUGAAAUCUCUAUUUUUACAUACUUCCAGGGAUUCUGAUCAUCAGUCUGCCUUACUCCUUACAGAAAGAGAAAAACAAUGGCAGAUCAGUCAUGAAAGUCUAUCAGGAGCUGGGAUUUGAAUCAACAGAAUUUAAAGAGAGCAACACUGAAGAGGUGGCUAUAUCCAGGGAGCAUUGACAGUGAGAACGGUGGGUGAGCGUGGGGAGACAUGAUGGAGGGUGAUCAGGAGGGAUACACCAGGCAGAUAUCGUGGUCACACCUUGAGAGCAAGGAAACACAAUCAAAGUGGUACAGGAUAAAGCAAACAGCAGGUGAGGUGAGCAUCUGGGCCAGGAUGGACAAUGAUAAGGCUGUUGACGUAGGGCACAAGCUGGUAAGGCCCCAACAAAGAAACAUCUGAAGGGGAAUGCCACCUGGAUUGCCAGAAUGUGAGCUCCGAGGAGACAAAGGGGCUACCUGGUUUGCUCUCACCUUGAUCCUGAGCACGUAGGAGAUGCUGAAUAAACAUCGUGGAAUGAACAACACAUAGGUGCAUUCUGUGGCCAUCUAGUCAGCAAAGUCAACAAAGAUACCUCAUCAAGGAAUUGACGUCAAGACUCAAAUCCCAAAGCCUGGCAUUAAGAUGACAGUACUGGGAGCUCCCGCUGUGGCGCAACGGGAUGGGCAGCAUCUUGGGAGUGCUGGGAUUAGGGUUUGAUCCCCAACCCAGCAUAGUGUGGGAUAAGGAUCCGGGGUUGCCGCAGCUGCAGUUUAGUUUGCAAUGGUGGAUCUGAUCCCUGGUCUGGGAGAUCCAUAUGCCGCCAAAAAAGGGAAAAAGAAAGAAAAAAAAAAAGGAUGAUGGUACUGGCAGAGGUGACUAAAAAAGAUGAGCUUCUUUCACUACUUCUUAACUUUUCACUCAAACUUUAUUUGGGCUUCUGGUGCAUGAAAAAUCAAGUGAUUCUGAAAUACGGGAAUGUACCACUGACAGUGGCAUGAACAGUGGGUCUUCUGUCUUGGGAAGAAGAAAACGAUGGGCCAGGUCUCUUAGUUUGAUUUUUGGCAAUGAGCAGAGACAAUCUCGUGAGAAUCUAAACUCAGAUGACAUUCCUCACAUGACCCAAGAUCACUGCCAGCUGACAUGUGGACAGCACAGUGGCUUAACCGGACUCCCUAUAAACUUUAAUGACAGAGCUGGCCAGGCUCUGUGUGGCUGGGUCAGCCUCCGGCUCCAGCAACCUGGGCAGAUGCCAGGCCCCCUGAAGCUGGCCAGUCCUGUCUCUGGGGGUUUCUGGAGACUUGAGAACUAGUUCUGCCCAAGGGGGGGAAAAAAAAAUUCUAGAUAAUUUUUGAAAUGCUUUCCAAACUAAUGAUUAUUCAAGGUGCCAUGUGUAUAAUCAUGUUACACAGUCCUUCAAAUGGCAAACACCAUCAAAACUCUAUGUUCCCGGUCCCAGGAGGCGGCGUUGGAGCGUGUACUCAAAUUCCUCUGCUCACCCACCUUCUGCAAACCUGAUCAUAAUAAGAUCUUUCCUUCCUAAAUGACAUCUACCAACUGCUAAUAUCCAACUAACAGAGAAAAGGGCUCUUGUUUCCCUAAGAUUCUCCACAGAGUUUGCUUCAUUACUACAACAGCCCAAAUAUGUAUUUUUAAAGAACUGCCAAAGGUUACAUGGUGCCAAUUUAAUUUUUCCUUCGAAUGCAAACUUUCCAAUGCCUGUCUUUCAUAAUACACCGAGAGGAAAUGCAUGGGUCCAAAUGACUUGACAAGUUUCUUUUAAUUUAAACACAUCUAAGCAUGUGUAGAAAAUUCCACUAGUUCAAAACGCUUCCUUUUCUUAAACAUAUUCCCAGGUCCAAUUACGUGUUUAUAGCCGUCUGCAAUGUAUUAGUUCUAAAGAUAAACAGUCUCUUGUUAAAAAUUGAUAGAAAACCAACAGCAUAUCACUACUGCCACACUCUGUCAGUCCUUCCCCUCGCAAGGGCGGUGGGAAGGCUAAAUCCACUGCCGUGAUCACGCUCUCCCUGCUGUCUCCAGCGCCCAGAAAUAAAGCACCUCCAGUUCCCACAGACAGCUCUGAGCCUUGACUGCUGAGACCUCUUUUUUCCCCUCUUGAACUCAGUAUAAAAUUCCAGAAUUCACUAACUGUGGACAGUUUUCCUUUUUCCUUUUCUAAAAAAGAGAGGCUUUAAGCUCAGAUGAUCACGACUUCUAAUUCCCAGGCAACAGUUGCAGUUUUCAAAUUAAAAUGCACAGGACUGGAAAUAAUGCACCUUAAUGGCUGAACGUUGAAAAACUGCAGUCCUUCAACUUUGCCUACAUGUAUGCUGCUAUACGUGAAACAAACAAGAGACUGAAAAGUCAUUUAAAUGGAUUAUUGGCCAUCCUGAGCUUGGAAACUGCUUCUAUGGAGAAAAACUGACUCACUGGCUAACAAAGAUUGCCGGCUACAGUCUCCAAGUUGACAUUUUAAAAAAUAUCUAAUCACCCUUUUGAAUGAUAUACCAAUUACUGAAAAUGGUAUCUGCCACAGUGAAAGAGCUCACUAGGAAAGCAUCCAGUUCUGGUCGGAACUGAGAAAUAUUCAGACCCUAAAGACAGGGUUGGGGGGAAAAGAUACCACCAGAGAAGACAAGUAUCAUUCAGCCAAAAAGCUUCCUUAAGGUGCAAGGUCAGAUUGACGCAAAAACCCAAAGAGACGUUCUUCUUUUAGAAUCCCCAAACAGUAACAAUUCCUGAACAGGACUCAGCAAAAAGGGACCUCCUUAACCCUGUCCUGCUUUUUAGGCAGGCUUCUCCUGAAUAUCUUUAGUUGGAAUUCUCCCUUUGCCCUCUUUUGCAACAAGAUGAGCAAUAAUGUUUUUCUGAAAUAAACAGGGAUUCUUUUUUCCCUUUUUGGGGUGGAAAGAGCACAAAGUUCAUAACUGGCUGGGAAAGGACCAAUCCUAACAGAUAAAACGAUCAUUUGCCACAGAGAAAUGCUGAUAAGGCUCAGAGUUUUAUUUCACAGCCGGAGCACCCACAUUUCCAUCUACUCUAUUCCGUUUACAAUCCUACCUGCUCUCCAAUCUCAGAGUAACAUUUGAGGACCCCAUAGCAUACACAGAGGCUCCCACACCGAUGAAAAAAUGCCCAUCUGCUGCUCAGGGCCAAAGAGGUUUCCCGAUUCCAAAUCGGGUAGAGGGGGAAUAACAGGCGACGGGGGGAAACUCAUGAAACCACCUUAAAGAUGACAUUAAUUGUCUUCGAAAAGGCAAUUAGAAAUGGACAAGUUAUUUGGUGGCACAAGGAGGAGAUAUGAGGAACCAGAAGGGACAGAAACAGCUGCACUCCCUAACCGAGGUCCCAGACCGCAAUGAGGCUGCAGACGUGAUCGGGGUGCUGGGAUUCCACCCAGCCGGACAAAGCUCAGGGCGCCCAGGUAGGGGCCGUCAGGCACAAAUCAAAGCCCAGGAGGCAGUUCCCUUUAGAGGGCGCUCAUUGGGUGUCGGAGGGAAACAAGCUCCAACCCCCGAAACGCGACCCAAAGGGGGAGAAAGCAAGUUCCCACCGCCGAGGCCAGGGAGGGAAGCUAGAUGCCCGCUUUCGGGCCCGUGGGAGAAGAGACUCCUCCAAGCCUCGGUGCACCCCAGCCGGGGCCCGCGAGGACGAGCGUGGCGGGCUGGAAGCCCCGGUUCUCCGAGCAGCCAGGCGACCCGAGGCCGAGCUCAGUGUCUCAGGCACCUCACCUCGCCCAGCUGCUGCACUUGAGCGCAACCCCUACCAAAAUGCCCUCCUGUUCCUUAGGGCCCGCAAGCCGCCCCCCGACCCUCAAGGAGGUCGGGUCGUUGCAAGACUGGGAGUCCAGGGGUCCGCAUCCUGGCAUUUUGGGGCGCAUUCCGCUCACCCCCCAAGGGACCGACGACUGUGCCUCCGCGGGUAGCUUAUCCACGCAGUAUCUGCUCCCUUACCCCAGCCACCCGGAACAUCAAACAAAAGAACUUUUGCAAACUUUCCUCUCCGGACACUCGCGGGUUUCUCAAAGCUGGGCCCCAUCUCCCCAGAACGUGCAUUCAAUGGAGUAGGAAAGCUGGCGUGGGGGGGUGUGUGUGCUGACAAAGGGACCCCAAAGUUUCCAGGUCGUUCCUGGGUCUCCGGGAGCGCGCGGAGGGGACC